AAAAUCUGCACUGCCCUCCAGCAGGCCCCUGCCCUGCCCUUCCUCCUCCAAGGGCUGUGCUGUCCCUGUGCCAUUGCACCACCUGAGAGAAGCAGGCCAUCUCUCAGCCAUUUGCCCUCCAACUUGCCCCUCGUUCAUGGCCUCUCUGCUCAGCUCCUUUCUGAGCAGCAGGUGCCUCUUGCAGCAGGGAAUGCCCCCGGCCCAGGUGCAGCACAUCAGCGUUAGGGCCCAUCCUGCAGGUGGGCGGGGAGCAGUGCUGGGGCUGAUUUAUUCCCUGUCCUGGCUGUGGGACAUGCUGCUGGGGGAAGGUGUGAGUGUUCAUGCAGGAGCAAAAUGCGGUGUGGAAGAGAAGAACGUAAUGAAACUUACUCCAAAUAUCCCGAGGAUGCAAUAUGACAAUUCUCAGAGCGCAGAACAAACGUGGUAUGUUGGAUUCAGCUGUUUCCUUGCAGGACUGCCGAGUCAGCAUCAUGCUUAACUAGUAGAAGGUGGAGGAAAUGCAGUUAGCAUGUUGACACCAUAUGUGCGAGUCUGCGUGUGUCACUGGGGUGCAGAUUGAAAUAAUUUGGGACUUAACCGUUUACCAGUGGGCUUUG
rnacentral:lncRNA from 1 species